UUCAUUUUCUAGCGAUCACUUUCCUUCUGCUGGUGACACACUGUUACUUCAAAGGCCUGGACCGGGGCGUGUUUCCUGUAAGGGUGAGCAGAUUUGAAUGACCGCUCAGGAUGGACCUGCUCUAAGCCUGACCAGACUUGGAACUGAAGCACCUUAAGGACAAAAGAAAGACUUGCUGAGCUCGCUCACAGACCUUCUAGAGCAGCGCUGGGCUCAUGGAUCUGGAGAUUAUGGACAGAAGAUAAUGUAGAUGUUAUAACCAGGCCAGCGUCCUGUGGUAAAGGGUGUCUUUAGAUCACUGUUUCGUCGGUAUAGGUAAAUGACAUGAAGAACAUCUUUAUAGGCAGGGGAUGAGAAUCUGAGAUGAAGAAAAGAGGCUCCCCUGAUGGACCAUUCUAAGCUACUGUCAGAAGCAGGAUCCAUAGAACUUAAGGACAUGAUUGCAACAAUUAUCAGACAUUGGCCUCUUAGGUCAUGGUGAUCUUUUAGUAUUUUGGCUUUCUGCUGUCCUUUCAUAAAGGAACCUCAUUUUUAGCUUCUAUUGAAGAUAUAAAAUCAUCUCAUAGUAUUUUCUCAUUACUAGGAGCUGUAAAUCACUUCAAAGCUGUCUUUCUCCUUGAUCAUUUGCAUAUCAAAGUAUUUCUCUUGAGUACGGUGAUCUCUCCCCCUGUGGUUUGCUGUGUACCAGUUCUCUCUGGAUCCUAGGGCCUAGGGAAGUGUGGAUUCCAAGUGACUGGUGUUUUUCUACAGUAGAGCUUUUUUGUUGGCUCUUACCUGGGAGGACAAUGGGGAAGGGCCAGGGCCAUCCUGUUCUUUGCUGGGUGUGACCUUUCCUGCUCUGCUUCAGGGUUCCAUGCUGAAACCACCUUUAGCCAUCAUCGAGUGGGACUCCUUUUUACAUUUUGGUGAUUUCAAUAUUGUUUUUGUAUGGGUUUUGAGUUUCAGUCCUAAAUCUGUGUGGUGUGACAGAGGGAACCUCUACACAAAGGCCUGCCAAUCUGCAACCUCUUCAUGCUGCCACUGGUUAGAUCAACAGUUCACUCUAGACACUGAACCUUGCCUGCAUGCGUGCUAGUGUCACCACCAACAUCAGUAUCACUGUGCACCAGCAUCAGCAUCACUGUGCACCAGCAUCAGCAUCACUGUGUAUCAGCAUCAGCAUCACUGUGCACCAGCAUCAGCAUCACUGUGCACCAGCAUCAGCAUCACUGUGUAUCAGCAUCAGCAUCACUGUGCACCAGCAUCAGCAUCACUGUGUACCAGCAUCAGCAUCACUGUGCACCAGCAUCAGCAUCACUGUGUACCAGCAUCAGCAUCACUGUGUACCAGCAUCAGCAUCACUGUGUAUCAGCAUCAGCAUCACUGUGCACCAGCAUCAGCAUCACUGUGCACCAGCAUCAGCAUCACUGUGUAUCAGCAUCAGCAUCACUGUGCACCAGCAUCAGCAUCACUGUGCACCAGCAUCAGCAUGACUGUGUACCAGCAUCAGCAUCACUGUGCACCAGCAUCAGUAUCACUGUGUACCAGCAUCAGCAUCACUGUGCACCAGCAUCAGUAUCACUGUGCACAGCUCAAUCUCCAUACGUCAAUCGCCAGAUCGGUCCAAAAGUGUCUUGUCUGUGUGUAUUUUCUCCCACUUUACCACUCCACUCUGGCUUAAGCCUUCCCACCUGCUACUGUGUACUGUGUGGUUGCUGGCUUUGGGAACUCCCAAACUUUCCCUCUGUAUUUCAUGUUUCUGUUGGCCUGACAAGUAUCUCUUUCUAAAAAAGUACUAGUUUAUUUUAUGUGAAUGAAUGUUUUGUCUGUGUAGCUGGUAUGUGCUUGGUGCCCAUGAAUCCCAGAAGAGGGUAUUGGAUCCUCUGGAAGUGGAGUUAGUUACAGAUGCUUGUGAGCCUUCAUGUGGGUUCUGGGAAUUGAACCCAGGUCUUUUGGAUCCCAGUGAUUUUAAUGGUCGAGCUAUCUUUCCAGCUCCUUCAGGGCCUGAGAGAGGUCCUAGAACCCCUAAAUUCCCCAGUGACUCCCCUUUGUUAUUCUGAGAAGUUUCAGCUUCAACUUGCCAUUCUGGGAAACACAGGACCCUAUAAUCCACCUGCCUUCCGGGAUGAACACAUGGCUUCACCCCUGAAGGCAGUGCUUAAGGCACUGCAUGAUUCUCCACUUCCAAACGUGAUCUGUAUUUUCUGCCCACCUACCUCUUUGCUUAGUCAUUCACUGUAUUAUUCCCUAUUCUGUGCUGAGCACGAGUGUGCUCUCUCUCUCUGUCUCCUUUCUUUUUGCUUUUUUUUUCUCAUCUUUCUUUUUUUUUUGUCAGUUUUAUGUAUCUUUGAAAAUUUUAUUGAAUGUAACCUUUUUAAGAGUCUUGGAUGCAAUGUCCUUUCUUUGAGCCUUGAAAUCUGAAUCAUCUCUUUAGUGUAUUGUGGCAAAUGACGGUGUUUCUCUGUGUAUUCCUAGCUGUCCUGGAACUCUUUUUGUAGAUCAGGCUGGCCUCGAACUCACAGAGAUUUGCCUGCCUCUGCCUCUCAAGUGCUGGGAUCAACAGCAUGUGCUACCACUGUCCAGGUCUUGAUUUCUUGAUUUCUUGAUUUAAAAGAAUGAGUCUCUGCAUAAGGCUUGCCUAGGCCAUCAGCUACAAGCUUCACUGGACAGUGUACAGACAGCAUAGAGUUGGCUUCAUACUAGGGAUUGAGCAUCUAUUGGUGGAAUAAAUACAUCAAUAUGUGGAA
rnacentral:lncRNA from 1 species